rnacentral:rRNA from 1 species
UACGUAGGGUGCGAGCGUUAAUCGGAAUUACUGGGCGUAAAGCGUGCGCAGGCGGUUCGUUGUGUCGGCGGUGAAAUCCCCGGGCUCAACCUGGGAAUUGCAUUCGAGACUGUGUAGCUAGGGUGCGGAAGAGGGAAGCGGAAUUCCCGGUGUAGCGGUGAAAUGCGUAGAUAUCGGGAGGAACAUCGGUGGUGUAGACGGCUUUCUGGACCGUAACUGACGCUGAGACACGAAAGCGUGGGUAGCAAACAGG